rnacentral:rRNA from 1 species
CGCCCUUCAGAGGGGGACAACAGUUGGAAACGACUGCUAAUACCGCAUACGAUCCAAUCUCGGCAUCGAGGAUGGAUGAAAGGUGGCCUCUAUUUAUAAGCUAUCACUGAAGGAGGGGAUUGCGUCUGAUUAGCUAGUUGGAGGGGUAACGGCCCACCAAGGCGAUGAUCAGUAGCCGGUCUGAGAGGUUGAACGGCCACAUUGGGACUGAGACACGGCCCAG